GUUGCUAUCCUGGGCUGGCAACACUUCUAGGUUGAUCUGUCUGAACUGCUGAAACUUGAUGACUUGCAAUCAACAGUCUGUAGAACAAUAAGGACUGCUCCAGUGAGAAGAAACAGGAAAG